rnacentral:tRNA from 1 species
GGCCCGUUAGCUCAGUUGGUUAGAGCGUCGUGCUAAUAACCCGAAGGUCGUGGGUUCGAUCCCCCCACGGGCCA